rnacentral:lncRNA from 1 species
UAUAAUAAAAUUGAGAAUGGAAAUGGGGAAUGUGCCAAAGAGACAACAACCCGACCAUAGAAAAAAACAACAGCAGAAGGUCACCAACAGGUCUUCAAUGUAGCGAGAAAUUCCCGCACUCGGAGGCGUCCUUCAACUGGCCCCUAAACAAAUAUAUACUAGUUCAGUGAUAAUGAACGCCAUACUAAUUUCCAAAUUGUACACAAGAAACUAAAAUUAAAAUAAUACAAGACUAACAAAGGCCAGAGGCUCCUGACUUGGGACAGGCGCAAAAAUGCGGCGGGGUUAAACAUGUUUGUGAGAUCUCAACCCUCCCCCUAUACCUCUAGCCAAUGUAGAAAAGUAAACUCAUAACAAUACGCACAUUAAAAUUAAGUUCAAGAGAAGUCCGAGUCUGAUGUCAGAAGAUGUAACCAAAGAAAAUAAACAAAAUGACAAUAAUACAUAAAUAACAA